rnacentral:rRNA from 1 species
GCUUUGCUGACGAGUGGCGGACGGGUGAGUAAUGUCUGGGAAACUGCCUGAUGGAGGGGGAUAACUACUGGAAACGGUGGCUAAUACCGCAUAAUGUCGCAAGACCAAAGAGGGGGACCUUCGGGCCUCUUGCCAUCAGAUGUGCCCAGAUGGGAUUAGCUUGUUGGUGAGGUAACGGCUCACCAAGGCGACGAUCCCUAGCUGGUCUGAGAGGAUGACCAGCCACACUGGAACUGAGACACGGUCCAGACUCCUACGGGAGGCAGCAGUGGGGAAUAUUGCACAAUGGGCGCAAGCCUGAUGCAGCCAUGCCGCGUGUAUGAAGAAGGCCUUCGGGUUGUAAAGUACUUUCAGCGGGGAGGAAGGUGUUGCGGUUAAUAACCGCAGCAAUUGACGUUACCCGCAGAAGAAGCACCGGCUAACUCCGUGCCAGCAGCCGCGGUAAUACGGAGGGUGCAAGCGUUAAUCGGAAUUACUGGGCGUAAAGCGCACGCAGGCGGUCUGUCAAGUCGGAUGUGAAAUCCCCGGGCUCAACCUGGGAACUGCAUUCGAAACUGGCAGGCUUGAGUCUUGUAGAGGGGGGUAGAAUUCCAGGUGUAGCGGUGAAAUGCGUAGAGAUCUGGAGGAAUACCGGUGGCGAAGGCGGCCCCCUGGACAAAGACUGACGCUCAGGUGCGAAAGCGUGGGGAGCAAACAGGAUUAGAUACCCUGGUAGUCCACGCCGUAAACGAUGUCUACUUGGAGGUUGUGCCCUUGAGGCGUGGCUUCCGGAGCUAACGCGUUAAGUAGACCGCCUGGGGAGUACGGCCGCAAGGUUAAAACUCAAAUGAAUUGACGGGGGCCCGCACAAGCGGUGGAGCAUGUGGUUUAAUUCGAUGCAACGCGAAGAACCUUACCUGGUCUUGACAUCCACAGAACUUUCCAGAGAUGGAUUGGUGCCUUCGGGAACUGUGAGACAGGUGCUGCAUGGCUGUCGUCAGCUCGUGUUGUGAAAUGUUGGGUUAAGUCCCGCAACGAGCGCAACCCUUAUCCUUUGUUGCCAGCGGUCCGGCCGGGAACUCAAAGGAGACUGCCAGUGAUAAACUGGAGGAAGGUGGGGAUGACGUCAAGUCAUCAUGGCCCUUACGACCAGGGCUACACACGUGCUACAAUGGCGCAUACAAAGAGAAGCGACCUCGCGAGAGCAAGCGGACCUCAUAAAGUGCGUCGUAGUCCGGAUUGGAGUCUGCAACUCGACUCCAUGAAGUCGGAAUCGCUAGUAAUCGUGGAUCAGAAUGCCACGGUGAAUACGUUCCCGGGCCUUGUACACACCGCCCGUCACACCAUGGGAGUGGGUUGCAAAAGAAGUAGGUAGCUUAACCUUCGGGAGGGCGCUUACCACUUUGUGAUUCAUGACUGGGGUGAAGUCGUAACAAGGUAACCGUAGGGGAACCUGC